rnacentral:rRNA from 1 species
AGCGGCGGACGGGUGAGUAACACGUGAGUAACCUGCCUUAGACAUUGGGAUAGCCUCGGGAAACCGGGAUUAAUACCAAAUAAAAUCAUAAUGACACAUGUCAUAACGAUCAAAACUCCGGUGGUCUAAGAUGGACUCGCGUCCCAUUAGCUAGUUGGUAGAGUAAAAGCCUACCAAGGCGACGAUGGGUAGCCGGCCUGAGAGGGUGAACGGCCACAUUGGAACUGAGACACGGCCCAG